UGCAAGUGUGCCGGCAGCCGGGCCCACACGACGACGGUCCUCAGUUUCGUCCCGGAGUCCGAACGCACCGGUUGGGCUCCUGGUGCGCAGCUUGGCCUGGCCAGUCGGCACGCACGCUCCCCUAGACCACGGACUCUCUUGCACGUGGCACGAGGACAGAGUCUUCCCGCCUUUAUAGCUCGUCGUACGCCUAAAGAGGAACGGCAGCGCAGAAACGUACACGAUAAGAGAAUCAUCGCAGCAGACUUAUCGCAAGACCUUCGACUACGCCUUCUUCCCUUUUCCGAGGUCGCCUCCAUUCGACUUCUAAGCCUGCGACCACGGUCACCCUUGCGGGGACAAUGCACGCCCUGGGGCUGACUCGAGCUGCCCGUGCAAAACUGGAACCUUUGCGUUGUUUUGUUCGUUCGGCUCGAGUUAGGAACCGGCGUGGAAGCGCCGUUGGAUGCAAACCGACACGCCCUGCCAGGGUCUCUAUCGUCCUGCCUGCCCUUUCCCGUCUCGCUUGAAGUGCUCCCCGAAGCGUUCAAUAAAGUUUACCGUAAUAUUUUUUUAUGUUCGAACCACGGC